GACGAACGCUGGCGGCGUGCCUAAUACAUGCAAGUAGAACGCUGAAGGAGGAGCUUGCUCUUCUGGAUGAGUUGCGAACGGGUGAGUAACGCGUAGGUAACCUGCCUGGUAGCGGGGGAUAACUAUUGGAAACGAUAGCUAAUACCGCAUAACAGUAGAUGUUGCAUGACAUUUACUUAAAAGGUGCAAUUGCAUCACUACCAGAUGGACCUGCGUUGUAUUAGCUAGUUGGUGGGGUAACGGCUCACCAAGGCGACGAUACAUAGCCGACCUGAGAGGGGGAUCGGCCACACUGGGACUGAGACACGGCCCAGACUCCUACGGGAGGCAGCAGUAGGGAAUCUUCGGCAAUGGACGGAAGUCUGACCGAGCAACGCCGCGUGAGUGAAGAAGGGUGUCGGAUCGUAAAGCUCUGUUGUAAGAGAAGAACGAGUGUGAGAGUGGAAAGUUCACACUGUGACGGUAUCUUACCAGAAAGGGACGGCUAACUACGUG
rnacentral:rRNA from 1 species